AACGAACGUCUGGCGGCAUGCCUAACACGUGCAAGUCGAACGAGACCUUCGGGUCGUAGUGGCGCACGGGUGCGUAACGCGUGGGAAUCUGCCCUUGGGUUCGGAAUAACUCGCCGAAAGGCGUGCUAAUACCGGAUGAUGUCGUAAGACCAAAGAUUUAUCGCCCAGGGAUGAGCCCGCGUAAGAUUAGGUAGUUGGUGAGGUAACGGCCCACCAAGGCAACGAUCGGUAGCCGGACUGAGAGGUUGAACGGCCACAUUGGGACUGAGACACGGCCCAG
rnacentral:rRNA from 1 species